rnacentral:lncRNA from 1 species
UGUGGUACGUACAACCCCCACAUGAACAUAUGAGAGAUUGUUCCCACACGUCCACAUGACCAUCACAUGCAAUAUCCUAUUUCUCUCUUUCUUUUGUUAAUUCCAAACAUUUUUUUCUCGGACCGAACUUAGAUUCACCCCUUAAAAACUUAGGGUGAACCUUUAAAUUCACUCCAUCUUUUAGAACCAAUCAAAGUGACACAUAAAUUAUUAAUUAAAAAAUAUUAAAUUAAAUAAAAAAUAGUUACAAAAAAUAAAAACGAUAAUUUUAACGAUGCUAACGCUUCCAGCUAAACCCUAAAUCUUAAAUUUGAAACCAUAUACCCUAAAUUCUAAACCCAAAUCCAAACCCCUAAACCCAAACCCUAAACCCUAAACCCUAAACCCUAAUCCUAGACCCUAAACCCAAAGUAUAUACCCUAAACCCAAAAACUAGACUAUAAACCUAAACUUUAUACCGUAAACCAUGUACCCUAAACCCAAGUCCUAGAUCCUAAACCCAAACCGUAAACCUUAAACUCAAAUUAUAUACCAUAAACCCAAAACUUUAACCAUAAGUCCAAACGGUAAAUCCUAAACCCAAACCGUAAAUCCUAAACCCAAAACCUAUACCUUAAACCCAAAUCCUAAACCUAAAACCCAAACGGUAAACCC